GACGAACGCUGGCGGCGUGCUUAACACAUGCAAGUCGAACGCUGAAGCCUGGCUUUUGUUGGGUGGAUGAGUGGCGAACGGGUGAGUAACACGUGAGUAACCUGCCCCCUUCUUUGGGAUAACGCCCGGAAACGGGUGCUAAUACUGGAUAUUCACUGGUCUUCGCAUGGGGGUUGGUGGAAAGGGUUUUCUGGUGGGGGAUGGGCUCGCGGCCUAUCAGCUUGUUGGUGGGGUGAUGGCCUACCAAGGCUUUGACGGGUAGCCGGCCUGAGAGGGUGACCGGUCACAUUGGGACUGAGAUACGGCCCAGACUCCUACGGGAGGCAGCAGUGGGGAAUAUUGCACAAUGGGCGCAAGCCUGAUGCAGCGACGCCGCGUGAGGGAUGGAGGCCUUCGGGUUGUGAACCUCUUUCGCUCAUGGUCAAGCCGCAACUGUGGGUUG
rnacentral:rRNA from 1 species